GUUGAACGCUGGCGGCGCGCCUAACACAUGCAAGUCGAACGAUUAAAGCACCUCUUGCUGCGUAUAACGUGUCGAACGGCUGAGUAACACGUAUGGAACCUGCUCCUGUCAUUGGGAUAACCACGGCAAGCCCCGGAUUAUACCCAAAACCUCUCGACUUCCGCAUGGAAGACUCGAGAAAGCCCCGGCCGAGAGGGAUGGGCGCGCGGCCUGUUGGCUUGUUGGUGGGGAAACGGCCUACCAAGGCAAUGAUGGGAAGCUGGGUUGAGAGACCGACCAGCGAGAUUGCGACUGAGAGACGGAGCAGACUCCAACGGGAGACAGCAGUGGGGAGUCUUGCACAGUGGUCGAGAGCGUGAUGCAGCGACGCCGGGUGCGGGAUGAAGGCCUUCGGGUUAUAAACCGCUUUCAGCAGGGACGAGGGGAAAGUGACGGUACCUGAAGAAUAAGCCCCGGCUAACUACGUG
rnacentral:rRNA from 1 species